CCCCCCAAUCCCCCCUCUCCUAGCAUUAAGUUGGCCAGUUCUGCUCGAAUGACAAGUAGUACCGGUAUUCUCGGCCCUGACGAUCUAAAAUUCCAGUCGUUUCUCGCAUCGUUGCUCGGUGACUCGAUUUCCAGCGUCGACGAGGGUCAUCCGCGCGCGGUUUGAAUUUCGUUUUCUCUCUCUCUUCAAGAAAGGACGGAUGAGGUUAUCUUCUAUAAGCGGUGUGGUCUAAUAUAAACGGCGACUUUUAUCAUUUUUUUAAACGCGCCCUAAACACGCUCAAACGGACGACACUUAUUCCAGGCUCCUCUUCUCUCUACGGAAACUGAAAACCUCGAUACAAAAAACGGAGCCAAAAGUGUCAAAUGACUCGGGUCGCGUCAUGGGAUACAUCAAACCGAAAGAUAUAAGAUGAAAUCACGGGAAUAUUAUCAAAACCAAAAGAAGCCACCAAGAAAGCUAGUUACUCUCUCUCUGCACAUCCUGCCUGGAUGGAAGCAUGGGUGGGGACCUCCACCAGAGUCCAUCGAGCAACAACAACAACUUGCAUGACUUCAUCACCUUUGUGUUUGGUGAGUCAAACGAUGGCGUAAAAAAAAAUCCCAAAACAGGUUGAACUGUGUAAUUGUCGGGGAAAAUCAAACUAUAUAUAGUUACCUAUGCAAACACAACGCCCGAAAUGGACAUGGUUGCCCAGUAAAAAUGACAUUUGACUAUAAGAAGCCCUGAAAGGACUUGGCAUCUUUGCCAAUAUCUCUGUUGAUUUGAAAUAUAAUGCAGAAUCAUGGACAAGAAAUUCUCGGCCAAAAAAGGAGAAUUUUCUUCUUUCGCCUUUUGCCUUUGCCAGAAAUUGAUUUUGAUUGCGUUUUUUUUUCUUUUCAAUUGCAACAGGCGGCCGUCGGCGCGGCCGCCACGACGAUGGCCGAGUGCGAGCGGCAAUUUGAACGCCUUCUGACGCGCGGUACCUAUUCCUUAUUGCGCUACCGCUACAGGUGAAUGGGAGAUAUAAUCACCUGAAAAUUGUGAACAUUACAGAAGAGAGGGGGGAACAUACACACACGUAUGAGUAAUCACAGUUCCGUCGGAGAGAAUCAAUUCGGGCGAUCCCCGCCAAUUUACCAAUGCUGGGCGUGGUGAGGCAUCUAUAGCUAUCCACACACACGUAGUCUACACACACGCAAUAGUUAUACGGUACACAGGAAAAGAUGAAGAAGAAGAAGAAAAUUUUUUUUACCGCCAGCUCUGUGAUGGAUCGGGCCCGUCAAAAGCAACGGGCUCUAGUUCUUGUUUUUCUUUCUAAUUUCCCGGUCAUCCAUCUCCCGUUGAACACGAAAUGAUAGACUCUCGGACUUGCCAGCCUUGCCCCCGCGUGUUUUCAAUCGAUCGCCCUGGCGUCCGCUAGUCAGACGAGCCGAUUGAAACGGGAGGAAUGAAGGGGGGCGAGGCAAGGCAUAAAAGAAAAGAAAAGAAAAGAAAAGAAAAAAAAACGUGCGUCGUACUUUGUACAUUGACCGGUUACGAAUAAUGACACAAGGCGGAUUUGAAAUUUACGAUUCCAGACAUUUUCCGCCGAGUCAUUAUUUAUACACUUCUUUUUCUUUCUUUCUUUCAUGUACAGUCACGCGCUUUCGUCUUUGAUGCAACUGCUUGAAAGUCCGUCCUACCUUAAGAGGUUUUGAAUAAAUUUCUUUUUCUUUUUUUCUUAUUAUUUUCACGGUCGAAAUUCCUAAAUUGUGUAAAAUGUUCCGUACCGGCUUGUAAUCGCCCACUUAAAUCAAUCACGAGCGGAUACACACAGCGUGGCGUACAACAGCAAUGUUAUUGUUAAUGUCCCGCAGUCUCUCUCGGCACAGCAGCAGCGCAUCUUCACGAUUACUGUUCUAUUGGCUUGCUGAUGCUUUUGUCCGUGUGACACAAUCGAUAUAAUCGGCUUACAUUCAACCUUCCUCUCGUCCGGUGUGUGAGAUCACAAUGUAUACUGGCAGGAGUGACAUUCGCGGAAUGUUUCUGGUUUUUAUCCCUCCCUAUGCACACUCCUUGGAUCAUAAUCACCAUCGAUUGUGUUUAAAAUUCCGCCCAUUCUUAAUCCGCCCCACCCCGGCCGUCCUGCCUUAUUCCCACAACAAAUCUCUUGAGGUCGUCCACCCUCUUCACUCCUCCUUGGUCCUAUCGUCGUCGUCUCUUCUUCCUAUUUCAUCCGCAGUUGUUGCUGCCCCCCUCCUGCAGUGAUAUCAAUCCGAAACUAGUGGUCGUAUCGUCAUCUGUGGUAUGUGGCGGAUCUGCCGGUCUUGUUCGACGGAUCGGAUGCACUCUUUCGGAUGACUCAUUCCAUUCCGUUGCGCACACACACACACGCAGAGACCGGAAUCGACCAACCGAUUUCCAACUGAGAAGAAAAAAAAUCCGUGUGUGACCGCGCGUCUCUCUCUUAUAAGAAAAAUAGUCCCCAUCUUAAUAAACUAGUCCCUUCUUUUUAUUACUAUCAUGCAUCAUCAUCAACAAGCGUCUUGCUGGUUAUAUACCACCGACGUCCUCCCUCUCUCGUUUCCUUGACGGGUGGCUGCGGCCAUUGUGUAAAACCCCCAGCCCGAAAAGUUCCCCGCCACCUCAA